UUUCCAGAGAUGGAUUCGUGCUCGAAAGAGAGCCAUAACACAGGUGCUGCAUUGGCUGUCGUCAGCUCGUGUCGUGAGAUGUUGGGUUAAGUCCCGCAACGAGUGCAACCCUUGUCAUUAGUUGCCAUCAUUUAGUUGGGCACUCUAAUGAGACUGCCGGUGACAGACCGGAGGAAGGUGGGGAUGACGUCAAGUCCUCAUGGCCCUUAUGGGUAGGGCUUCACACGUCAUACAAUGGUCGGUACAGAGGGUUGCCAAGCCGCGAGGUGGAGCCAAUCCCUUAAAGCCGAUCGUAGUCCGGAUCGUAGUCUGCAACUCGACUACGUGAAGUCGGAAUCGCUAGUAAUCGCAGAUCAGCAUGCUGCGGUGAAUACGUUCCCGGGUCUU
rnacentral:rRNA from 1 species